CCUCAUAGACGGCCAUUUCCUUGCUCUGUCCUCAUGUGGUGGAAGGGGCAAACUGCUCCCUUACAUCUCUCUUGCUCCUUUUUUUUUUUUUUUUUUUGAGAUGGAGCCUCGCUCUGUCACCCAGGCUGGUGUCGCAAUCUUGGCUCACUGCAACCUCCGCCUCCUGGAUUCAAGUGAUUCUCCUGCCUCAGCCUCCCGAGUAGCUGGGAUCACAGGCGUGCACCACCAUGCCUGGCUAAUUUUUGUAUUUUUAGUAGAGAUGGGGUUUCACCAUGUUGGACAGGCUGGUCUUGAACCCCUGACCUCAGGUGAUCUGCCCGCCUCGGCCUCCCAAAGUGCCGGGAUUGUAGGUGUGAGCCACAGUGCCCAGCUCCAUCUCUCUUAUAAGGCCACUAAUCCUAUAAAUGAGGGCUUGCCCUCAUGACUUAAUCACAUCCUAAAGGUCCCACCCCUUAAUACUAUCACAUUUGUGUUAAGUUUCAACAUUCAUAUAUUUAAACUUAUGACACAUAUUAUAUGUCAUAUAAUGUGUCAUAUUACAUAUUAUGUGUCAUAAUAUGGACACAUUCAGACCAUAGCAAAUAGUACUGUGCAUAUCAUGCAGUGGAUAUGCUAAGUUGCCUGAGUCUCAGACCAGCAAAGUUUUAUUAAGGGUUUCAAAAGGGGAGGGGGCGUAAGAACAGGGAGUAGGUACAAAUAUCGCAGGCUUCAAAGGGCAAAAAGCAGAACUACUAAUAAGGGUCUAACAAACAUCACAUGCUUCUGAGGGAGCAGGACAAAGGGCAAAAGCAGAACUACUGAUAAGGGUCCAACAAAGAUCACAGGGCAAAGGGCAAAAGCAAGAACUGGUCUGACCACAAAUUUACCAGGGUGGAGUUUUUCCCCACCUUAGUAAGCCUGAGGGUACUGCAGGAGACCAGGGCGUAUCUCAGUCCUUAUCUCAACCGCAUAAGACGGACAUUCCCAGACCAGCUGUUUAUAGACCUCCCCCCAGAAAUGCAUUCCUUCCCCAGGGUAUUAAUAUUAAUAUUCCUUGCUAGGAAAAGAAUUUAGUGAUAGCUUCUCUACUUGCAUGCCCAUUUAUAGGCUCUCUGCAAGAAGAAAAAUAUGGGUGUUUUUGCGUGACCCUGCAGGCAGUCAAACCUUAUGGUUGUC
rnacentral:lncRNA from 1 species